rnacentral:rRNA from 1 species
UACAGAGGGCGCGAGCGUUGUCCGGAAUCACUGGGCGUAAAGGGCGCGUAGGUGGCCACUAUAAGGCCGCGGUGAAAGUUCGGGGCUCAACCCUGAAUCUGCCGCGGCGACUGUAGGGCUUGGGCACCGUAGAGGCAGAUGGAAUUCCGGGUGUAGCGGUGGAAUGCGUAGAGAUCCGGAAGAACACCGGUGGCGAAGGCGGAUCUCUGGGCCUUACCUGACGCUGAGGCGCGAAAGCUAGGGGAGCGAACAGG